rnacentral:rRNA from 1 species
AUUGAACGCUGGCGGCAUGCCUUACACAUGCAAGUCGAACGGUAGAGUAGCAAUACUCGAGAGUGGCGAACGGGUGAGUAAUAUAUCGGAACGUGACCCAACUGUGGGGGAUAACGUAGAGAAAUUUACGCUAAUACCGCAUACGAUCUAAAGAUGAAAGCGGGGGAUCGCAAGACCUCGCGCAGUUGGAGCGGCUGAUA